GAAAAAAAGGAAAAUUCACCUUCAUCUCUUCGAUCGAAUUUUGCUACUCUUUUUGGCUCGGUUUGUUGUGGGACUGCAAAACCCCCCAUUCUAUUCCUCUCUCCCCAUUUCGCAUACCAAUAGCUCUUGAUCGCAGCAUUCGACUGCGUAUUGCUCGGUGGAUCUUGCUGUACGAUCGAUUGCCUUUCCCAGCUGCAGAGCUUGCUGUAGAAAAUGCCGCUCAGACUAGAAAUCAAGAGGAAACUUGCGCAAAGAUCAGAAAGAGUAAAGUCUGUGGAUCUACAUCCAACAGAGCCAUGGAUAUUGGCGAGUCUGUAUUCGGGGGUUGUUUGCAUCUGGAAUUAUCAGACCCAGAUAAUGGUUAAAUCUUUUGAGGUUACUGAACUUCCAGUUAGAUCUGCUAAGUUUAUACCACGAAAGCAGUGGGUGGUUGCUGGUGCUGACGACAUGUUCAUUCGUGUCUACAAUUACAAUACGAUGGAUAAGGUUAAAGUAUUUGAGGCCCACACAGAUUAUAUCAGGUGUGUGGCAGUUCAUCCCACUCUCCCCUAUGUGUUGUCAUCAUCAGAUGACAUGCUCAUAAAGCUCUGGGACUGGGAAAAGGGGUGGGCAUGCACUCAAAUAUUUGAGGGUCACUCCCACUAUGUGAUGCAAGUGACUUUUAAUCCCAAAGAUACCAAUACUUUUGCUAGUGCAUCACUCGAUCGCACAAUUAAGAUUUGGAACCUUGGCUCCCCUGAUCCAAAUUUUACCCUUGAUGCUCACCUGAAAGGAGUAAACUGUGUUGAUUAUUUUACUGGUGGUGAUAAACCUUAUUUAAUCACUGGCUCUGAUGAUCACACUGCUAAGGUGUGGGAUUAUCAGACAAAGAGCUGUGUCCAGACACUAGAAGGCCACACACAUAAUGUUUCGGCAGUUUGUUUCCACCCUGAACUUCCCAUUAUAAUAACAGGUUCUGAGGAUGGUACAGUUCGCAUAUGGCAUUCCACCACUUAUAGACUUGAAAACACAUUGAAUUAUGGACUUGAAAGAGUUUGGGCAGUUAGUUACUUGAGAGGAUCACGACGGGUUGUAAUUGGCUAUGAUGAAGGAACCAUAAUGGUAAAGCUCGGUAGAGAGGUGCCUGUUGCAAGCAUGGACAAUAGUGGGAAAAUCAUAUGGUCUAAGCAUAAUGAGAUCCAGACUGUCAACAUUAAGAGUGUUGGGGCCGAUUAUGAUGUUGCUGACGGAGAGAGAUUGCCUUUAGCUGUGAAGGAGUUGGGAACCUGUGACCUUUAUCCACAGAGUUUGAAGCACAAUCCUAAUGGUAGGUUUGUUGUUGUAUGCGGGGAUGGUGAGUACAUCAUAUACACAGCUUUGGCAUGGAGAAACAAAUCCUUUGGCUCGGCUUUGGAAUUUGUUUGGUCAACGGAAGGAGAAUAUGCUGUUAGGGAAAGUACAUCAAGGAUUAAGAUCUAUACUAAAAAUUUCCAGGAGAAGAAAAGCAUCCGCCCUACAUUUUCGGCUGAGCGCAUCUAUGGUGGCAUAUUAUUGGCAAUAUGCUCAAAUGAUUUUAUUUGUUUCUAUGAUUGGGCUGAAUGUAGGUUGAUACGUCGAAUUGAUGUCAAUGUUAAGAAUCUUUACUGGGCUGAUAGUGGGGAUUUGGUGGCCAUUGCCAGUGAUACGUCAUUCUACAUACUUAAGUAUAAUCGGGAUAUAGUUUCUGCCCAUCUGGAUAGUGGGCGAUCAGUAGAUGAACAAGGGGUGGAAGAUGCUUUUGAGCUUCUUUAUGAAAUUAAUGAAAGAGUACGAACUGGUCUCUGGGUUGGGGACUGUUUUAUCUACAAUAACUCGUCUUGGAGGCUUAAUUACUGUGUCGGUGGUGAGGUGACAACUAUGUUUCAUUUAGACCGGCCUAUGUACCUGCUUGGGUAUCUUGCUAAUCAGAGUCGUGUUUUUCUCAUCGACAAAGAAUUUAAUGUUAUUGGAUAUACCUUGCUGCUCAGCUUGAUUGAGUACAAGACUCUCGUGAUGAGGGGUGAUCUGGAGAGGGCAAGUAAGGUCCUGCAAUCAAUUCCAAAGGAGCAUCAGAACAGUGUGGCCCAUUUCUUGGAAUCACGGGGGAUGAUAGAAGAUGCACUUGAAGUUGCUACCGAUCCCGACUACAGAUUUGAGUUAGCCAUACAGCUAGGAAAGCUAGACAUUGCAAAGGAAAUAGCAACAGAUGCACAAAGUGAGGCUAAAUGGAAGCAAUUGGGUGAAUUAGCCAUGUCUAGCGGAAUGUUGGAGAUGGCAGAAGAGUGUUUGAAGCAAGCUAAUGACCUGAGUGGUUUAUUGCUACUCUAUUCAUCUUUAGGAAAUGCCGAGGGGAUUAGUGAACUUGCCUCUCUUGCAAAAGAGCAUGGUAAAAACAAUGUUGCAUUCCUUUGUCUGUUUAUGUUGGGUAAAUUGGAGGACUGCCUACAAUUGUUGGUAGAGAGCAAUCGGAUACCAGAAGCUGCAUUGAUGGCUCGGUCUUACCUUCCAAGUAAGGUGUCAGAAAUUGUUGCUCUUUGGAGAAAGGACCUCAACAAGAUUAAUCAGAAAGCUGCAGAAUCACUUGCUGAUCCUGAAGAAUAUCCAAAUAUGUUUGAGGAUUGGCAAGUCGCACUUGCUGUUGAAGCUAAAGCUGCUGAGACAAGGGGUAAUUUGCCUCCAGCAGCUGAAUACAUGCAACAUGCUGAUAGAUCAACAGCAAGUCUUGUAGAACUCUUCAGAACCAUGCAAAUCGAAGAAGAUGAGCACCUAGAAAAUGGUGGCUUGGAUUAUGAGGAUGGAAAGACAAAUGGUGAAUUGUCACAAGAGCAGGAUGAUACACAAGUGGAUGGGCAUGAUGAGAGUCAUCAAGAGGCUGUUGUGGUGGAUGGUGACCCUACAGAUGGUGCUGUGCUCGUCAACGGAAAUGAGGCAGAGGAAGAGUUGGGAGCGAAUGAUGGCGAAAAACCGUCAGCCUAAAAGCCAUUUGUUGGAAUGGUGUGAAAAUCAUAGUUUUGUUUCUGUUGGCAGUGCUCACGCAACCUGGCUGAGUUCAUUGAAGACAGAUGGUUGCAGAUGUCUGCUAUAUUUCUUGAUAUGCUAUAGGUUGUUUGCCUGAAGACGAAGACUCGUCCUGCGAUUAUUGAAGACAUACACAACGUAGACUUUAAGAUGUUUUGCUUAGUACAUUUUUAUGCCGAUCAAUUAUGGUUUUCUAUAUAGUCUGCGACCAUAGUGACUUGAUCCUGUCCGAUCUUGUUUAGACGAAUUAAGUUGUGUUCAUCAUCUAGUAGUCUACUUUAGUUGAGACAUAGGCCGUUUCGUAAAUCUCUUUGGUUCGUGGCGUUGUGAAUCGUAGAUACACAGCUGCACUAUGGUACAAAAUCUACCCACAUCUCCUCAUUGUCAAAGAUGUUAAUUUUAGUUUGUUCCA